CCCACAAACCUAGGUUGUUCUCCAAACCGGCCUCCGCCGCCGCCGGCAGCAAUACUCCACCCCCGACUGCCCUGGCUGCAGCCAAUCGACGAUGGAAGACGCUGGCCUGAAGUUCUUGGCUUCUUGCUGGAUGCGCUUGACAGAUUUCCGCUCAGGGAAGAGCUCGCCGACAGCUUGGACCACCCAGAUCCGGCUCAUCUGGCGGUCCUCCUACGGAUUGAUGGCACGGGCAUUGAGUCGCCGGACUCGAACGCUGGGUCCGGGUGCGGGAAACGUGUUGGCGGUGCUAGCCAGGGGCGGUAACUGGGUAACGGGUGACGUCGAGGUCCGCACAGUCGACCAAUAGGGUGAAUCCGGAGGAUCCAGGUUGGAUAAAAAGGAUGAGCUUUGCAAGCCAGAUAACGAAGUGGAUAGGGAUUACAUCGAGAUGAUGCACUCUACACUAAUGGGUUACAGAAUUGACUGGUUGAAGAAGGUAAUUGAGCUCCUACGAUUUCUUGAAAAUAGGAGAAAGCAAAAAUUCAGAAUGAUCUGAAUUACAAGGAAAGCUAUGCCGAAAACUGAAAACGAUGCUUAUGGGCAGUUGAGUGCAUUUUGUGGAGGUUUACCCAAGUUGGGAUUUUUUAGGCGGAAUCAUGGUUGGGGCAGUUGACAACCAUUCAUUAUAUAUAGG